rnacentral:lncRNA from 1 species
AAGGAAAGGAAAGGAAAGGAAGGCCGAGCAGUUCUUCAUUUCGCCUUCAUUUACAUGAAAGUGCCCGGACCAGCUGUUUUCCUAACCGGAGCAGAGCGACUUUUCCCGGUGUCUUACAUUGGCCAGGACUGCAAAGCAAUUCCAGAAUUCCUUGGGACAAAAUACGGACACAUCGCAAAAAGGCUGGACCUCAGCUUCAAUUUAUUAAGAUGUUUAUUGUGGACCAACUGAAAUUAUGGAUUGGAUUGAGACAGACCUAUCUCUUCUUGAAAGUCUGAAGUGAUGAAGCUACCACAACUUCCAAAGGCAACUUCUUUUCCAUUGGUUGACUGUUCUAGUAUUUUACCUGAUCAUUCUCAUAUUCUCCCCUCCAUUGUCUUUCUUGAUAUGUGUUGGAUCUGAGGAUUUAGAAAGCUGUUGCUUCUCAGAUUCAAGUUUUUGUCUCUCCCUACAAUUCUAUGAAUUGAGUAAAAAGUUAACCAAGGUGUAGUCAUUUGUAUUACAGUCCCAGGCCA